CUAAUACAUGCAAGUCGAGCGCGGGAAGCAGGCAGAUCCUCUUCGGAGGUGACGCCUGUGGAACGAGCGGCGGACGGGUGAGUAACACGUGGGCAACCUGCCUGUAAGAUUGGGAUAACCCCGGGAAACCGGGGCUAAUACCGGAUAAUACUUUUCGUUGCAUAACGAGAAGUUGAAAGGCGGCUUUUAGCUGUCACUUACAGAUGGGCCCGCGGCGCAUUAGCUAGUUGGUAAGGUAACGGCUUACCAAGGCGACGAUGCGUAGCCGACCUGAGAGGGUGAUCGGCCACACUGGGACUGAGACACGGCCCAGACUCCUACGGGAGGCAGCAGUAGGGAAUCUUCCGCAAUGGACGAAAGUCUGACGGAGCAACGCCGCGUGAGUGAUGAAGGUUUUCGGAUCGUAAAACUCUGUUGUCAGGGAAGAACAAGUGCCGUUCAAAUAGGGCGGCACCUUGACGGUACCUGACCAGAAAGCCCCGGCUAACUACGUGCCAGCAGCCGCGGUAAUACGUAGGGGGCAAGCGUUGUCCGGAAUUAUUGGGCGUAAAGCGCGCGCAGGCGGUCCUUUAAGUCUGAUGUGAAAGCCCACGGCUUAACCGUGGAGGGCCAUUGGAAACUGGAGGACUUGAGUACAGAAGAGGAGAGUGGAAUUCCACGUGUAGCGGUGAAAUGCGUAGAGAUGUGGAGGAACACCAGUGGCGAAGGCGACUCUCUGGUCUGUAACUGACGCUGAGGUGCGAAAGCGUGGGGAGCGAACAGGAUUAGAUACCCUGGUAGUCCACGCCGUAAACGAUGAGUGCUAGGUGUUAGGGGGUUUCCGCCCCUUAGUGCUGAAGUUAACGCAUUAAGCACUCCGCCUGGGGAGUACGGCCGCAAGGCUGAAACUCAAAAGAAUUGACGGGGGCCCGCACAAGCGGUGGAGCAUGUGGUUUAAUUCGAAGCAACGCGAAGAACCUUACCAGGUCUUGACAUCCUCUGCCAAUCCUAGAGAUAGGAUGUUCCCUUCGGGGACAGAGUGACAGGUGGUGCAUGGUUGUCGUCAGCUCGUGUCGUGAGAUGUUGGGUUAAGUCCCGCAACGAGCGCAACCUUGAUCUUAGUUGCCAGCAUUUAGUUGGGCCUCUAAGGGGACUGCCGGGACAACCGGAGGAAGGUGGGAUGACGUCAAUCAUCAUGCCCCUUAUGAC
rnacentral:rRNA from 1 species